AUGAACGCUGGCGGCGUGCCUAAUACAUGCAAGUCGAGCGAACAGACGAGGAGCUUGCUCCUCUGACGUUAGCGGCGGACGGGUGAGUAACACGUGGAUAACCUACCUAUAAGACUGGGAUAACUUCGGGAAACCGGAGCUAAUACCGGAUAAUAUAUUGAACCGCAUGGUUCAAUAGUGAAAGACGGUUUUGCUGUCACUUAUAGAUGGAUCCGCGCCGCAUUAGCUAGUUGGUAAGGUAACGGCUUACCAAGGCAACGAUGCGUAGCCGACCUGAGAGGGUGAUCGGCUACACUGGAACUGAAACACGGUCCAGACUCCUACGGGAGGCAGCAGUAGGGAAUCUUCCGCAAUGGGCGAAAGCCUGACGGAGCAACGCCGCGUGAGUGAUGAAGGUCUUCGGAUCGUAAAACUCUGUUAUUAGGGAAGAACAAAUGUGUAAGUAACUAUGCACGUCUUGACGGUACCUAAUCAGAAAGCCACGGCUAACUACGUG
rnacentral:rRNA from 1 species